rnacentral:rRNA from 1 species
AUUGAACGCUGGCGGAAUGCUUUACACAUGCAAGUCGAACGAUGAACCUUAGCUUGCUAAGGGAAUUAGUGGCGAACGGGUGAGUAAUGUAUCGGAACGUAUCCAAUAAUGGGGGAUAACUAGUCGAAAGAUUAGCUAAUACCGCAUACGUCCUACGGGAGAAAGCUAGGGACCUUCGGGCCUGGCGUUAAUGGAGCGGCCGAUAUCUGAUUAGCUAGUUGGUGGGGUAAAGGCUCACCAAGGCGACGAUCAGUAGCUGGUCUGAGAGGACGACCAGCCACACUGGAACUGAGACACGGUCCAGACUCCUACGGGAGGCAGCAGUGGGGAAUUUUGGACAAUGGGCGCAAGCCUGAUCCAGCCAUUCCGCGUGAGUGAAGAAGGCCUUCGGGUUGUAAAGCUCUUUCGCAAGGGAAGAAAACUUAAGCUCUAACAUAGCUUGAGGUUGACGGUACCUUGAUAAGAAGCACCGGCUAACUACGUGCCAGCCGCCGCCGUAA